GGGCCAGCGAUCCCCCCCCCCGGGGCCCUGCGCGCCGCAGAGCGCUGCGGAGCCGGGACGCGGGAGCUAGACUCGGCGGGAGCGGCAGCUCCUCUGAUUCUAAAAGCCCAGGGAUGAAGCAGUUGCCAGCUGAAACUGUCCGGCUCCUUUCAAGUUCUCAAGUGAUCACAUCAGUUGUUAGUGUAGUGAAGGAGCUGAUAGAGAAUUCCUUGGAUGCCAAUGCCACAAGCAUUGAUGUUAAACUGGAGAAUUAUGGGUUUGAUAAAAUAGAGGUGCGAGACAAUGGUGAUGGCAUCAAAGCUGCUGAUGUUCCAGUUAUGGCAGUUAAGCAUUAUACCUCAAAAAUAAGCUGUCCGGAGGAUCUUGAAAGCUUGACAACCUAUGGCUUUCGUGGUGAAGCCUUGGGAUCAAUUUGCUGCAUAUCUGAGGUUUUGAUCACAACAAAGACAGCUGCUGAUGAUUUUAGCACCCAGUACAUCUUGGAUAGCAGUGGGCAUGUAACUUCUCAGAAGCCUUCUCAUCUUGGGCAAGGUACAACUGUAGCUGCACUGAAGCUGUUUAAGAAUCUUCCUGUAAGAAAACAGUUUUACUCAACAGUUAAAAAAUGUAAGGAGGAAUUUAAAAAAAUCCAAGAUCUUUUGAUGGCGUAUGGCAUCAUAAAGCCAGAACUACGGAUAAUCUUUACACAUAACAAGGCAGUUAUUUGGCAAAAGACCAGGGUGUCAGAUCACAAAAUGUCCUUUAUGUCAGUUCUGGGAACUGCCGUUAUGGGCAGCAUGGUACCUUUUCAACAUCACUGUGAAGAUCCUGAGGUAUUUCUGUCUGGAUUUCUUCCAAAACCUGAAUCAGACAAUUCUUUGACAAGUCUUUCAAGUUCAGAAAGGAGUUUCAUCUAUAUAAACAGUCGGCCAGUACAUCAAAAGGAAAUAUUAAAGCUGGUUCGACAGUACUAUAAUCUGAAGUCACAUAAAGAUUCUUCUCGUUCGUACCCUGUUUUCUUUAUUCAUAUUACUGUACCUGCCUCCGCUGUGGAUGUUAAUUUAACACCUGAUAAAACUCAAGUUUUACUUCAUAAUAAGGAAUCUGUCUUAUCCGCUGUUGAAAAUGUAUUGACAUCACUGUAUGGGCUACUACCUGGAACAGUUUCUUGUGAAACUAAUAAAACAGAUGUUACCCCAGUGGACAUGGUUGUUAAUGAAACAGAACAAACAGAUGUGCUUGUUAAUAAAAUGGAACCAUUUGGGAAUAGUGAUCCACAUGCACAUACUUCAUCCUUUUCAUUCAGUAAUGAAGUGCAAAAUGGGCAAGCAGGAAAAAACACCGAGGUCUGCUUAAAUCAUCAAAGAUUUUCUAGUGAUAAUACUCAUGGUCUCCUCAAUAGAAAAGAAAUUUCUGGCACUGACGUGACUGUGAGUGAUAUAUCUCAAGACAGUUCCAUAAAUAAUUUAUCAUGUGAGGACAGCCAGAAUGGAUAUAGUGUAACAUUAACCCUAGAUGGCAGUACUCACAUGGACACUCAAUCUGAAAACAGAAGUGAGCAUCCUUUAAGAGCCGGUCACACUAAUGAAAUGGAAAAAAAUGAGGCAAAUACAGUCCCUGAGUAUGUAUCUGAAAUCUCUGCUGAUAAUUGGAGCAAGGGGAAUGCACUUAAAAAUCCUAGAGGAGAGAACCUGGAACCUGUAAAGAUUUUGAUACCUGAAGUAGGAGGAAUAACAAAUCAUAAGGCAAAUGAAAAUACUGGUGAACAAGAUCAUGAUCAGCAGAGUGCAAAUCAAAGUAUAAAAAAACCGAAUGUAAUUAAUGAUAAAGCAGGACAGAUCAUGGCCUAUGAUUUAAUUAGUAAUCAAAUAAUCCGGAAACCCAUGUCAGCAGUUGCCCUGUUCAACCAAGAAUAUCGUUCUAGAUUAUUAACUGAUAAUCCAAAGGCCAACAUGGAGGACUUGAUGCUGAAAAUUGAAGGACUAUGGGAGAAACUGAGCAGAGAGGAGAGAAAGAAGUAUGAAGAAAAAGCCACGAAAGACCUGGAACGAUACAACCACCAAACCAAGAAAGCUGUGGAGCAGAGAAUACAGAGAUCAACAAAAGAGACAGAAAAAAGAUACAAGCCCAAACUGAAGACUUCUCUCUCUGACCAGCAGAAACUUGACAAACUUUUUCAGUCUCAAAUUGAAAAGAAACACAGCCAUAACCAAGCUAUGAAAAUUGUACAGGUGCCCUUUUCUAUGAGUUCUUUCAAACGUCAACUUCAAAGGCUUGAGAAGAGAAAUUUUGAUAAAGACGAGUCUUGCCUGAUCUGUCACCUGAGUUUUCCUGAUGCAUGGGUAACUGCUUCUGAAAAAAAAAUCAUGUUGCUAAAUCCGUAUAGAGUGGAAGAAGCCCUACUUUAUAAAAAACUACUGGAGCAGCACAAACUUCCUGUAGAGAAACUGGACAAGCCAAUUGUAUUAACUGACAGUGAUGGUCCCUCACUCAAGAGCUCCAUGCACCUGAGACCAGAAGACUUAUUAGCGGUGCCCGUUGGUCUGUGCCUGCGUCUCCUUGUGCUCCAAACUGAGGGCAUAGGGAGUGGUGCAGAUUUCCUGCCUCUUCAGUUCCUUUGUACCAUCCAUGGUCUGUGACGGAAUCCCUCCAAUGUCCACAGCUUUACGAGCAUUCCUGCUUCAAUUUCAAAUAUUUCUGUAAAAAGUUUUUGCCUUUAUCUAGUUAGUUAGUGGUAGUGUUUAGUUAGCUAGUGUUAGUAGAGGUUUUGGGGGAAUUCCUCCACCCCAGUAUUCCCACUAUUUGGAGUACUUGGUAUGUCUAAGAUCCCUGGCUUCAAGAGCUAUGUGGCCUGUCCCCAGAUCUUCCCAGUUAGUGACUUCCAUGACACUUGUUUCUAUUGCCUGGGGAGAUCAACGUCCCCUCCAAGUUGCAAUAUUUGGCAUUCCUUUCCCCUCUGAACCUGGCAAUCUUGAGAGUUCCAGCUCUGAAGAUUCCUGCUGGAUUGCUCAAUCCCCCAGGCCAACCCUGAGUCAUCAUUGGUUGUAGAUGCUGAGAAGUGCCCGUCUGAAUGCAGUACUCCCCUGUUCUGGAUCAUGAGAGGUCAGAGCUAAGGACCUGAGCAGGCGCAGUAGAUGGGAGGAGAGUAAGAGCAAACACUCUCAUAAAAAGGAGAAAUCCCCUCCCAAGUCCUCAUCUAAGAAGAGGACUUCUUCCCCUGCACCCUCCCAAUCUGGUCAGACUCUGCAUCCUGUUACAGUUGUGUCAGGAUCUCAAGGGGAGCACAGGUCUGGCUCGUAGUAUAGGGAGCCAAAAGUGCUUUGAAAUCGCUGACCCCUGAAGGGGUGGGACCACCUCUAAUACCAGUAAGCAAAAGAAGGGAACGAUGCUGCCCACACCAACAGUACCAUCCCUCAUCAAAAAGGGGAUUUGGUGAUAUCCAUAUUCAUCACCUGACCUUAAUCAGCACCACUGGCUCUGUCAUGAGGUAGAUACGGACCACGCAACUCAAAACUCCAGCUACUGUAAGUUUGUUCAGCGGAUCUCAUUAUAUGGAUUCUCUCUACAAUAUGCCAAAGGAUUGCCAAAAAUUAAAUGGAUCAAUUUACUUGUCGGAUC